CAGCAGCCACGGGAAUACGAAGGGGGCUAGCGUUGCUCGGAAUGACUGGGCGUAAAGGGCGCGUAGGCGGCGAUCAAAGUCAGGCGUGAAAUUCCUGGGCUCAACCUGGGGGCUGCGUUUGAUACUUGAUUGCUAGAGUGGGGAAGAGGGUCGUGGAAUUCCCAGUGUAGAGGUGAAAUUCGUAGAUAUUGGGAAGAACACCGGUGGCGAAGGCGGCGACCUGGUCCUUGACUGACGCUGAGGCGCGAAAGCGUGGGGAGCAAACAGGAUUAGAUACCCGGGUAGUCCCUGUCUCUUAUAC
rnacentral:rRNA from 1 species